CUACGGGGUGCUGCAGUGGGGAAUAUUGCACAAUGGACGAAAGUCUGAUGCAGCAACGCCGCGUGGAGGAUGACACAUUUCGGUGCGUAAACUCCUUUUAUAUCCCAAGAUAAUGACGGUAGGAUAUGAAUAAGCGCCGGCUAACUCCGUGGCCAGCAGCCGCGGUAAUACGGAGGGCGCAAGCGUUACUCGGAAUCACUGGGCGUAAAGAGCGUGUAGGCGGAUAGAUAAGUUGGGAGUGAAAUCCUAUGGCUUAACCAUAGAAUUGCUUCCAAAACUGUCUAUCUAGAAUAUGGGAGAGGUAGAUGGAAUUUCUGGUGUAGGGGUAAAAUCCGUAGAGAUCAGAAGGAAUACCGAUUGCGAAGGCGAUCUACUGGAACAUUAUUGACGCUGAGACGCGAAAGCGUGGGGAGCAAACAGGAUUAGAUACCCCGGUAGUC
rnacentral:rRNA from 1 species